rnacentral:rRNA from 1 species
AUUGAACGCUGGCGGAAUGCUUUACACAUGCAAGUCGAACGGCAGCACGGACUUCGGUCUGGUGGCGAGUGGCGAACGGGUGAGUAAUGUAUCGGAACGUGCCCAGUCGUGGGGGAUAACGUAGGGAAAAUUACGCUAAUACCGCAUACGAGCUAUGGAUGAAAGCGGGGGAUCGCAAGACCUCGCGCGAUUGGAGCGGCCGAUAUCAGAUUAGGUAGUUGGUGGGGUGAAGGCCCACCAAGCCAACGAUCUGUAGCUGGUCUGAGUGGACGAGCAGCCACCCUGGAACUGAGACACGGUCCAGACUCCUACGGGAGGCCGCAGUGGGGAAUUUUGGACAAUGGGCGAAAGCCUGAUCCAGCCAUUCCGCGUGCAGGAUGAAGGCCCUCGGGUUGUAAACUGCUUUUGUACAGAACGAAAAGGUUUCUACUAAUACUAGGAGCUCAUGACGGUACUGUAAGAAUAAGCACCGGCUAACUACGUGCCAGCCGCCGCCGUAA